UACGUAGGGUCCGAGCGUUGUCCGGAGUUACUGGGCGUAAAGCGCGCGCAGGUGGUUCACUAAGCCCGGCGUGAAAGCCCCCGGCUCAACCGGGGGAGGGUCGUCGGGGACUGGUGAACUUGAGGGCGGCAGGGGCUGGUGGAAUCCCCCGGUGUAGUGGUGAAAUGCGUAGAAGAGGUCGGGGGAACACCCGUGGCGAAGGCGGCCAGCUGGGCCGUCCCUGACACUGAGGCGCGAAGGCGUGGGGAGCGAACGGG
rnacentral:rRNA from 1 species